ensembl:snRNA U11 spliceosomal RNA
AAAAAGGGUUUCUGCUGUACUGGCACACGGAGCGUGACGAACGUUAUGCUUCGUGCGGAAUCGCAAUCAAGAGAUUUCGGAAGCACAAUUUUUAGUCCCGGGGCUGCUGGAGACCGCCUGUCCUGGCGCCCCA